GAUUUGAUGAGCUAAACAUCUGUUAAAAGUGCAUCAAAACUGGUAGGUUACUGUUCAUAUGGUCAAUUUUCAGAUUGGCUUACAGUCCAUACUUGAAUACCUCAUUUUUGGUCACUUUUGGGAAGUGUCAUAGCCAAAUUUUGCUGUAGUUUGUUCUGUGAGUACUUAGUUGUCUGCAUCUAUCCAUUAUCAUCAUAUAAACUUGAUGGAAACCCUCAUAUAUCCUAUUUCAUAUCAGUUAAGCAUCAGUUUUAAAUUUUCCAGACCAGAUUGCCAUGUGCAGCCAGCUUUGAACAGUGAUAAAAAUUGAGUUUAAUUGUUAAUUGUGUGGAUUGGCAAAAGCUGGGAGAAAAUUAUCUCUGUUUUCCUAACCAUUGCUAUUGAAAAAUAACAUCUAAAAGAAGCUUGAAACUCCCGCAAUCCAGUAGCCAACAAGUCAGUAACAGUAGAAACAUCUAUAUACAAUUUUCUUUGAGACAUUCCAUCAAACAUUUUGCCAAUUUGGAGAAUUCGUGUAAAACUUGUAUACUGCAGCAUGUGUGUCUUUUAUUGCUUUGUGAAUCUGUUCUAGAGCUAUCCUAAGAUCCUUUUGAGUGCCAACUUUCAUUGCAAACCGAAUUAAUUGCUUGAUUGUCUUGUUUGAAAAUCUGUCACCAAGUGUUUGAUGAAAGUCCUUGGUGCAAAGUCUGUUUGAUAUUUCCAGCAGUAGCAAAAUCUAUUUUCUGUGGCAAUUAACAUUGAUCUGGUGGAUUCUUUGUGAGUGUUUNGUGGCUGCAGAAAAGCUUCAANCAAUUNCCUAUUGUUGGUAGCAUAUUAGAAAGAAGAUUGGUGAGGUUAAAGUUGGUUGAAGGGUGGCUUGGUGUUGCAUAUUUCUCACGGCAGUGCAGAAUUUACUCCAGAUUUUGUUGCAGUAACAGCAAUUGCUGGACAGAGUGCGAAAUACAUGAGUUAGCCUCCUUUUUUACUGCAACUGUGAGCUUUGUGUGGCUACAUCUAGUGCCAACAAGUUUCCUUUGAAGAGAAGCCAAAGUUGCACUUCCAAACCCUUCCAUUGUUACUUUUACUUGCUUAAAAUUGUGUAAAUUAUUGUUUUUGGUUUCUUUGGUUGUAAGUUCCAAAUCCAAGCAAGUGAGGUGCUAGAGUUCACAAGUGCUCUUCCCUCAUUUGUAACUAGACUCAAAGAAGUCUCACAANNNN
rnacentral:lncRNA from 1 species